rnacentral:siRNA from 1 species
AUAUUGCAAAUGAAAAGGUGAGUA